GACGAACGCUGGCGGCGUGCUUAACACAUGCAAGUCGAACGAAGUGGCGAACGGGUGAGUAAUACGUGGGUAACCUGCCCUCCUUUUUGGGAUAAGCCUUGGAAACGGGGUCUAAUACCGAAUAAAGGGGGAUGGGCUCGCGGCUUAUCGGCUUUUUGGUGGGGAGAUGGUCUACCAGGGCGGUGACGGGUAGCGGGCCUGAGAGGGUGACCGGCGACAUUGACACGGAAAAACGGCCCAGAGUCGGACGGAGGGCGGCAGUGGGGGAUAUUGCACAAUGGGCGAAAGCCUGAUGCAGCGACUCCGCGGGAGGGAUGAAGGCUUUCGAGUUGUAAACCUAGUGCGCAAACGAACGGGUAUGUGGAGAAGAAGCGCCGGCUAACUACGUGCCAGCAGCCGCGGUAAUUC
rnacentral:rRNA from 1 species